GAAUCUGUGGCUUGGGAACUCUUCAAGAAAUGCUGACAUGAAGUUUGAGAAGUGCUGGUUCAGAGAGGCUUGAAAAAGCACCUGGGCUUUAUUUGGAAGCGGAGCAGCAGCUGAUGCCUCCCUAAAUGUUCUGCAGAUCCCAGAGCAAAGACCUCUGAGUCUACCGCCCCACCCUGCCCAGCCACGGCUCACUCCUGCGGUGGGCUCUGCCAGAGGAGGAAGAGUGGGACCCUCAAGCUCUCUCUGGGUCCUCAGCUCCAGUCUCGACUUUCUCUGCUAUUCAGUGUACAGGAUGGAAAACACGGAUGCAGUGGCUUCAGGUUUUUAUAUGAAAGUAACAUCAGCCAUUCAGAGAGAGUCUGACUUGACAUCGUGCCACAUUCAAAAUUCUCAGGGGCUAAAGAAGUUCCUGCAAGAGAAGAGUGGGGCCUGGGUCUGCCUUUCCCAUUGCCAAGAUGCCUUCUGCUGGCAACAUCAUCCAUUAUGACUGAUCAUGGCAAAUGCCGGUCAGCUGGCCUCACAGCAGGUGUUAGGAAAAUAGUCUUUGGCUUGAUUAUGUUAUCUGGCUUUCCCCAAGGAGGAAAAGACUCAGAAUGGAUGGAAGUUGUUUAUAAAUUCUCCUCUGCUGCAUAAUAUUAAGAAGGGGAAAGAGGAGUGCUGGACUCACCCUGAAUUCUUUCUUGCGCGAGAUCCAAGAAUUGUCUCUUGGGGUCUGUGCUGGGACUGCUUUCCUGUAACAUAUUUCUGGCUUCCACAGAAGGGACUAUAGUGAGGAAACCACUGACUUUGGAUCACUCCCUGCAGGUGAAGCCAACUGCCAUGUUGUGCAGAGGCUCCAGCCUCCCGUGGAGAGGCCCACAUGGAGAGGAUCUGCCAUUGCCAGCAGGAGCUUUCCAGCCAUAUGAUUUCUGGCAUGGGAGACACUGAACCAUAACCACCCAGCUAAGCUGCCCCUGGAUUCCUGACCUGCAAGACACGAAGUGAGAUAACAAAUGGUGUUGUUGUAAGCCUUACCGUUUCUGGGUAAUUCAUUGUGCAGCAGUAGAUAACUGAUACCAGACCCUUCACUGAGUCUUUUGGGCUUGAAAUGGAGAGAGUCAGGCUAAUUUGGGAUUUGGGAUCUCUUGGCAGACAUUAUUUCCUAUCAUAAAGAUCAGAAUGCCAGAAGAAGCCAGUUUCCAAGCAAGAGAGGGCAAAAUGAGAGAGGGAGAGUGGGAGAGAGAAAGAGAGAAGAGAAUAGAGAGAGAGAAGACUGGGGUGUGUGUGUUAUUUCUACCUUUUUUUGGGUGACAAAACCCAGAUUUACCUUUGCAGGGAUGACUCUUUUCCCACUCUGUGUUCAUUUGGUUCGAUAGAUCUGGCUGCACGCCCUUGCUUCCUGGGUGAUUAUGUAAUUUACAUAGUUUUAGCACCAAUAUGAAGUAGUUUCUGAAGCUAGCCUCCGGGGUUUUCAGUUAUCUGAGCCAGUAUUUCCUCCCUACUUUUUUUUUUUUGCUAAACUUGGUUUGACUUGAGUCUCACAAGUGAAAGCGACUUCAUUGAAACAGGAGCAGAGAGAAGCAGCAGAUAGAGAUUAAGAAAUUUCUUGAGAAUGUACAAAUUCCUGGAUCCAGCUGUUCCCAAACCCCAGGCAAAUCCUGCCUUCAAUAACAACAGCCGGACAGCAGCAACAACAAACAUUUAUUGAAUACUUAUAAUGAAUUCCACCUUUGGCUAAUUUAGUUUCUCCCAUUCGCAGUCAAGAAAGUCUUGAAGAAUACAAUAUCCAUUGCAAAAAUAUCUGGAAAGGGAGAUAAUGUGCCAAGGGAAGCAAAAUAAAUCAAGGUUUAC